AUAAAGACUUGGAAGUUAGCUUGAUCCCUGAAGGACAGGUAGGAUUGAUUACUUGAGAAAAGCCAAAUGGUAUAUCAGUUAGGAGGAAGAGAGUGCUCAAUGCUUGGAACAUGAGAACAGUUGAGAAGUCCAUCUUGGCUAAAGCAGGGUAGGAAGACUGAGAGGAUCAGUCCUCGACAAAUGUCAGAUAUCAGGCUGAAGUGUGAAUAAGAGACAAUGAGGAAUCAUUGAAGUUUUUAAAGUGGAGAAUCACAUUCAGAAACUGCCAUUCUAGAAGAUUCAUCUGAUAGCAGGUAUGUGGUAUAUGGCUGGGAGGGAGAACAAUCAGAAGCAGGGAAAGUUGUUCAGAGGAUUGGAAGUAGAUCAGAGAUAAAGCAAGAAGGAUUGACAAACAACUGAAAGAGAGGAAGGGACAGUCUUGAAAAGAAUUUGCAUGAACUAUCAACAGAACAUAACUGUUGAUUGGAUUGAGGGAAUACAGAAGAAGAAAGAGACUCAGAGUCUUUAGUCUGGGAUGCUUUCUUUGAUCCUCUCUCACAAGCUGCCAUUUGAUUUCUUCCAAACUUCUCGAAACAGUUGUUCUCACCUGCUGUCUUUGCAAUUUUAUUUCUGCCCCCCAUCGCCGCAUUGAAAUGGUUCUGGCAAGGAUCACCAAUGACUUGACUGCUACAUGGAAUGGCCUUUUUUCUGUCUUUAUUUUCUUUUGCCCACUCUGGAGCAUUUGGGAAUGCUGACUUCUUUCUUCAUCCUAAAAUAUUUCUGUUGGAUUUUAUAACAUUGCUCAUUUUACUCUCUCCUCAUACUUUUGAUUACUUUUUGGAAUCUUUUCAUGACUCCUUUUAACCUCUGUCAACACCUUAUAUAUUGUGAGUGUCUGGAAUUUCACUCUUAGUCUUCUUAUACCUCACUCCCUGAACCACCCACAGCACUGUCAAAUUCUAACUCAUUGACAUCUAUUAGUUUGCUUAUUGUAUAGCAAUUCCCAAAGUUAGAGCUUAUAUUCAUAUGACUCUCCUGAACUACAGACUUGUGUUCCAUUGCUUUCUGGACAUCUCCACUUGAACGACUCAUAGACAUUUCAAAGUCAACAUGUUUAAAACUGAGCUCAACAUACCCCUUCCAAAACUUGCAUCUCCAUUUCCAUUGCCUAUCUCAGUGAAAGAGCCUGCUUUCCAAAUAUUUGGCUAAGCUAACUCUAUCAGUACUUAUCCAUUAAUAUUCACAUAUGGCUUAUUUUGUGUUGUCUUGUUCAUUCUCCAUCCUGUCUGUACCUAUUGCCCCUGCCUUUAUUCAGGUCCAUAUAGUUUUCUGCUGAAACGCUUCCUAACUCAUUGAAGUUCAUCCAGUCUUUCUCUAUUCUAGUCUAAUCCUUCAUACUAUCACCAGACAUAUUUUCCUAAAACAUAUCCCUAUUCAUCUGUAUUUCUUUUUAUUUAAAUAUUUUCUUUAUUUAUUAGAGAGAGAAAGAGAGGGAGCAGAAGCUUGCGGGGGGGCGAGUGGAGGAGGUCAGAGGGAAACAGAGAAGCAGGCUCCUUGCUGAGCAGAGAUCCCAAUGCGGCACUCGAUCCCAGGACCCAAGGAUCAUGACCUGAGCUAAAAGGCAGAUACGACACUGACUGAGCCACCCAGGCACCCCUCCUCUGUAUUUCUCUUCAGCUUACAAAUAGCUCCCAUUCUCUCUGGCCUUAGGAAAGAAUCCAGACUUUUCAUUAUGGCAUUCAAGAGAUACUCUGACCCCAAAAUGUUUCCCAAACUUCUCUCCUGAUAUUGCUCAAACACUCGGUCUCUGCUUCAUUUAUGUUAAAUGAUGACACAUUUCUCCAUUUUCUGUCUCUGGUUUUGCACUUUCCUCCUGAAUUCUUCACCUAAUAAACUCUUAUUCUCUUUCAAGGGACAACUCAAAUUACCUGAGAGACUGGCCUGUUAAUGCUGAAAUUCUCAAGAGAGCAUUGCCAUGGAUUUAUAGUCUACUCCUUGGUUUAGCAAGACAGAGCCCUGAAAUUUCCUUAGCAUUCAGAUAUAAGAAUGUUGAUUUCUAUGAGUUAGACUCAUGACCUUCAUAUAAAUAGUACACUGAACCUGUUUAUUAACUUACAUCAAGAAGCAUAAAUAAAGCAUAAAUCAAGCAGAAUUUAAAGUUCAUGAUCACUAGUAUAGGAACUCACUUCUCAUAGGAAAUUCUCCAUGGGAAGCUACAUUAUAUUCAGCUUGUUAUUGAGCAUUGAAUCAUUGCAAGAAGACUAAAGUGGAUGAUCAUAAUGGCUGUUGCCAAGACAGCCUGAUGCAUCUGUCUGUGUUAUACGGAUAUAUGUGCCAAGAAGCCAGACUGAAUGCGAAAACAUGGCCAACAUUUUGCCUAUCUGGGAUAAUUCUAGAGACAGAGUAGGAAAGCCAUUGCUCCCUUUUUUUUUUUAGACAGCAGAGCACACUAUGUCCCUUUUGGUCCCACACCCUUUCUUUAUAGCUGUGAAUCUUGAACAUCUCAAGCAUUUUUAGCUAUGAUUAUAAAUGUAGUUCUUGUAAUUGCAAUGUCUCUGAUGGAUCCUCCUGCCUGUCCCCUGCCAAGGAACUUCCAAGAAUGCUUACUUGGGUUUAUGCGUAAGCCUUGAUCAUCACUCCAUGCCAUAAUCAACUGCAGCCUUCAAACUGGUAUUUUCAAAAGGGCCAUCUCUAAUUUGGAAUUCUGAUGUCCAUGUAUCAAUGGGAUUGCAUAACUACCACUGAAUGACUAUAGUUACCAUUUCUUCUUGCCUGGAGUAUAGCAUCUUACAGGUCUCCCUUAGUCUACUCUUGCCCUCCUAUAAUCUAUCCUCCAGACAGCAGCCAGAGUAUUGUUCAGAAUCAUGUCAAACCAUGUCAUUCCUUUGUCUAAGACCUUCUAAUAGUUUCUCACCUCACUCAGAGAAAGAUUUUGUCUUUCAUUAUUUUCUCCCUGGAUGAGUCUGCUCCAGCCAGACUGGGCUUCCUGCUGUUCUAUGAAUACACCAGGCACAUGCCCUUCCUGCACCUUUGCACAUGCUCUUUCCUGAGCCUGGCACUCACUUCUGUUGAUAUCCUUUUGGCCAUCCCUGCUCACCACAUUUAAAAUAGCAACCCCUCUUCUCUAUUUCCCUUUCCUGCUUUACUUUUAUUCCUAGCACUUACACCAUUUAAUCCAUUGUAUAUUUAUUUGUCUAUCAUCUGCAUCUUGUUACUAGAUGGUAAACUCCACAAGGGCUGAGGUUUUGACCCUUUCAUUCUCUGCUGCAUUCUCUAGGAGAAUGGGGGUGGUGCAGGGUUUGCUGUGGAGUGGGUGCCCUAAAAAGCAUUUGUGGAAUAAAUGAACCCAAGAUCUUUGCCUUCACUUUUUACUUGGAGAUGCAGAUAUUUAAAAGUAAUCAUGGGACAGGUAUUUGUCUUUUUCUCCCCUCCCUCCCUUUAAUUUUUAGGAGGAAAAACCUGCUAAGGCAAGAGAGAAACUGUUUGUUUUUGGUUCCUGUAUAAGAGUUGUCCAGAAGUACAGAACCAGUAGGAUGUAUGUGUAUGUGUAUGUAUGUAUAUAUGCACAUAUAUUUAUAUAUAUAAAUAUAAAUUUAUAUAUAUUUAUUUAUGGAGAGACAGGAACAGAUGGAAAUGGAGAGAGAGAGACACAGAGGGAUCUGAAGAAUUGGCUUACAUUAUUGUACAGGCCAGCAAGUUCAAAUCUGGGUUGAGUGAACAGCAGGCUGGAAACACAGGCCAAGACCCCGAGUCUCCAAGUCUCUGCCAUCUAGUGGCCAUAGUCAAGAGAUACUGGUUUUCUACACAGCUUUAAAUGUACAAAUGUUGACCACUAGAUUUUUAGGACUGAAACGGAACUUAAAGAAGUCAUCAAGCCUGUCCUCAAUAUUUCUGAGCUCAGCAGGAUUCCAGGAGAGAGAGAAAGAGAGAGAGUAUGAGUGGGGAGGAAGAAAGAGAG